rnacentral:rRNA from 1 species
GGGGAAGGGUAGCUUGCUACCUGACCUAGCGGCGGACGGGUGAGUAAUGCUUAGGAAUCUGCCUAUUAGUGGGGGACAACAUUCCGAAAGGAAUGCUAAUACCGCAUACGCCCUACGGGGGAAAGCAGGGGGAUCUUCGGACCUUGCGCUAAUAGAUGAGCCUUAAGUCAGAUUAGCUAGUUGGUGGGGUCAAGGCCUACCAAGGCGACGAUCUGUACCCGGGUCUGAGAAGGAUGAUCCCCCACCACUGGGGACUGAAGACACCGGGCCCAGACCUCCUAACGGGAGGGAAGCAGUGGGGGUAAUAAUUUGACCAAUUGGGCGAAAGCCCUUAACCCAGCCCAUUCCCCGUUUUGGAAAAAAAAGGCCUUUUGGGGUGUUAAAGACCUUUAAACGCAAGGGGGAGGCUACUUGACAAAUAAAUCUCUUGGGAAGGGGGCCUUAUCUCGAAAAAAAAACCCCGGGUUAAUUUCUGGCCCACAAGCCCGGGAAAAAACCCA